CCUCACCUCCCCCGCCCCUCCUCCCUCAGAGCCAGAUUUGGGCGAAAAAGGUGCCAGACACUCGAACCCAUAUAGAGAGUCACUCUGCUGGAGAUGGAGAAGAAGAAAGAAAUAAUGAUGUAAGGAGAUGUGUGUGUGUGUGUGUGUGUGUGUGUGUGCGUGUGCGUGUGCGAGAGCCGGAGUGGUCUUCCAUGUGUCUCGCUCACACAAGUGUUAGCGUGUUAGCUUGUUAGCUUGCCGUUUGGCCCGCGCGGAUUGUCCCCUGACAACCUUGAUGAGUUUCACUCUGCGAGGCGCUAACUAGAGCGCAGAUGCUCGGCCGCGUACGCCACGUUUUGCUCGACGCUCUCUCUCCACUUAACGUUUCAAUGCCUGGAAUGGACCAAUCAGAGGAGGUGAGGGGGGGGGGGGGGGGCGGGUCUCUGAACAAUAUUGCCAAAACAUUUGAUGGUGAUAGAAAUAAAGAAAAAAAAGAUGGUUUGCACCACAGAAGCAAGCUCAUCCGCUGUUACCUUGAUGCCUUUCUGCGCUUCCACAUCGAAGAGGCAAAUACUACUUCUCACCGCUACGCUGAUCCGACAGACUUGGUUACCUUGCAAAUAACAAUUCAAAUCAACAGCCAUCAAAUUACUUAAACAAAAGUAAAAAGGUAUCAAAUUAAUAAAAUAUGUAUUUGAUUGGUAAGCCGUGAUUUAAAGAGAAGGGAGAUUUGCUGACGCAUACUUUUACUUAAAGGGGCGGUUUGUGGGUUUUAGUGGCCUCUGGUGGUGAGUUUGCAGGUUGCAUCCAGCGUGUCAUCCCUUGCUCAUGCCUCCUUUCUAUUAUAUUAUAUUGCAUUUGGAUCAAAACCGGUAAAUGUGCCCUUCAUAUGAGGCUUUGAAUGUUUACUAAAUGUUUGCACUGCGUAGUAGCUUCAGUACAAUUUACAACGCAUCACUGCUAAAGUCUAGUCGCUCUAUUUUUGGACCGUAUCCACUUACAGUACACUCUGUGUAUUGAUCAGGAUGGUUUUAACAGACUGCUGUGAGGUCCAUUAACCUGUGGUGAUGACAAAGCAUUAAAAGACUAAUGUGUCCCUGGAGGGGAGGUGUGGGGAGGGGUAAGAGGAGCAGGACAGCUGAGCAGACAACACCACUCUGCACCGUGAAGUGGUGAUAGCUGUGAAGAUGACGCUCGCAUCAUUUGUGUGUAUUAUGUGGUUAUGCGCAUGCUCUCACCGAUGCUAAAUCAGUAUUUGAUUUUCACUUUCACUGCGCCUCAUCGGCCAUGUGAAAUACAGUUUGCCAUGUUGAGGUCGAGGUCGUUGAUGUUCAUUGGGUCGAGGUGGUUGAAGGUCGUUGAAUCGAGGUGGUUGAUGUUUGUUGGGUCGAGGUGGUUGAUGUUUGUUGGGUCGAGGUGGUUGAAGGUCAUUGAAUCGAGAUGGUUGAUGUUCGUUGGGUCGAGGUGGUUGAUGUUUGUUGGGUCGAGGUGGUUGAUGUUCGUUGGGUCGAGGUGGUUGAUGUUCGUUGGGUCGAGGUGGUUGAAGGUCGUUGAAUCGAGGUGGUUGAUGUUUGUUGGGUCGAGGUGGUUGAUGUUUGUUGGGUCGAGGGGGUUGAAGGUCGUUGGAUGAAGGUGGUUGAAGGUCGUUGGAUGAAGGUGGUUGAAGGUCGUUGGAUGAAGAUGGUUGUGUAGGGCACCGUUGUCCGUGGUGCUGAAACUCAGCAGAUGCACAUAAACAUGCUUCCUUGCGUCUGCUUUGUUAAUUAUUCUUUCAUUAAUAAAGGUUUUCUUUGUAUUUGAAGCAGUAGCCUCUUGUUGACGUCUAACAGCUUUUUGCAUGAUAGAAAUGCCCCUUAGCAGAAUGUUAAGAUGAAGAGGAAAAGAAGAAGAAAAAUAAAGGAAGCACAAAAGUACAACCAUGCGGGUUGUAAGUAGUGUAAAGGAUCAUAAAAGUCACAUAUCACAUCUCAUUGGAUCCGCUCAACGGAACAAAUUAGAGACUUUUAGAGAUCACGUUUGUCUUCAAGGCAAAAAAUUGCAUUCAACCGCUCUGAAGUAUCAAAUAUUAUCAGUAUAAUGUAUUUAUAUUCAGUGUAACGUCUGAUUAUAUGACUUUGUUAUCAUCAACUAAAAGCUGAAUAGACCGUUCUAUUUGAAGAUAAAGAGAAAGAGACUCCUCCACCCAGAGGGGAGAAUAUGAUCAACUUUCUGUAAGUACAGGAGGAAAUCCUGGAGAAAACACGUUCCUCCUCCUCUUCCUCCUCCUCUACUCCCCAGUGUCCUUUCUCCUCUUCCUCCUCUGUCCCGUCUUUGUGUUGUGGCCCCUUUUCAGAGGCUUUUUCAGGGGCUGAAGUGGCGCUCGGCUACGCUGAAGUGUCUCCACUGCUGUGCCCGAGCCUGCAAUUCACCCACUGUGCGUGUGUGUGUGUGUGUCUGUGUCUGUGCACGUGUGUGUGUGCGCGUGCAUGUGUGUGUGUGUGUGUGUGCACGUGUGUCUGUGUGUGUGCCUGAGCCUGCAAUUCACCAAUUUCACCGCUAAUUAGCCAACAAAGGCUACCGGCAGGGAGGAGCUGAGGAGGAGGAGGAUGGAGAGGGGGCGGCAUACGCGGGAGGUCCAGGCCUUAGGGGGGAGG
ensembl:lncRNA